AAAAUAUAUAUAUUCCACCUGGAAGGGCCUGCCUGGUACCCGCACAGCCGCAGCAGCAGUGGAGCCCAGGGUUUUUGUCACACAGAGCACAGAUUUUUUUGAUUAUGUAGAUUUCUGUUCCUACUGCAGUUUCAUAUGCAAAGCAUGCGUCCGCCACAUCCAUGCUAUCUCCUAAAGCAGUCGUUCUGAAACCCAAUCUGGGGACAGUGCAGACUAAAUAAAAUUUCAUUUUGAUUUGGCCUCCCGCUGCGAAUGGGACUGCUUUGUCUCAGCCGACAGAAGCAGCAAGCCAGAAAGGUGUUGAAUACUAAAAUACUGACUGAAAGAAAAUUGAAUAAGUACUGCUCUGAUGCUCCGGAGAUUUUACUGGAAGAUUUGUCGUGCUGAAUUUUAUUGUGAAUUUGAAGAUGCAUUGAACAGCUUUGAAGGACUUUAGCUUUCAUGGCCCUUGUGAGCUGCUUUGGCAGGAAAGCAAUCGCCCAUUUUAGAGAAGGAGGGAAAAUAGGACAUAAAGACUCUUCCCUGGGACUGGAUUGCUUGGCUCUGUGUUUAUAAAAUGCACUGUGGUGUUUGCUGAACUGCUGUAGAAGAUGGCUUCUUGUAAACAGUGACCUUCCCUGGGAGUCAGGAGAGGCCGCUGUGCCAGACUCUCUUCACAUACUUGUCUCUUGUGGCUGGAGAAGGGGCCACCAGCCAUGCUGCUCUCAGAAGACACUGCAGAUAAGGUGGUGGACGCCAGGGGACAGACAGGUGUGGGAAUUUAUUUGCCAAGCCCAAAUUUCCCCUUCGACUGUCCCUGCCCUUGACCAAUCCGUCAGGUGCCAUAGGGAAAGGUGCAUUCUUCCCUGUCUUACAUACUGGCAUAUCAUUAAUCUAAAUUAGGUGACAGCAACCUGGUAAAGAUGGAGAUGGAGUAAAUGAAAGAUAAAUUGCCUAAGAGGGGAGCAGGGAGUAACUUCACUCUGGCUCAGGAGUUCUGCAUAAGUAAUUCCACCCGGGAUCUACAUUAACAGACAAAAAUACUAAUUAGCUUCCCAGGGACUUGGUCCCCGGCCCCUAAGCAAACAAAAAGUAAGUCAUGGUACACAGCUUCAUACUGGGUCAGAAGCAAACUUUUUAAAAUCCAGACUACCAGAGCCAUCCCAGUAUUUGGGGGUGAGAGGCUCCCAAGAGUGAUUCCUGCCACUGCUGUAACUCAGUGGUGAGCUCUUCCCCAUUGUAAUACAUUAUGCUCUUCCCAUAAAAUCUCUAGGAAACUAUAUAGCCAGGAGCCUUAGGGGUGGGGGAUCAUCAAAAGCUUAGGCAACUUGCUGAUAGCCUCUCUACUUACCAGGCCUAAAAAAAAAAAAAAAAAAAAUCAAGAAACAAAAUGAAAGUUAAAGAUGUGGAAGAAACACAGUGUGAAUACAACAUGUAAUGACCUUCAGUGGAGACGCAGGGAGGAGGAGGGAGAGGAAGAAGCCAAGCUGGACCUGGCUGGAGAGUUUGGUCAGCCAGCACAGGUGCAACUUCUAAUACUGCUCAAUGCAGACCGAGAGUUCCGGUUCAGCCACAUCUUCAUCAGCACUUGGAAUGACCAACCUUACGAAGUCUACUCAUACGAAUAGGUAGGACCGAGGAUAUAAUCCUCAUUCCCUAAUCAUUAACAAAACUGAAUGUUUCUUUCACCUGCUUAUUUGACAUCCAUACACCUCUACAAUAAAGUGUCUUUUCCAGUUUUUAAUAAAAUCUUUAUUUCAGAUACAUGUUUUCAGAUAUAUGUCUUCCUCAUCCUGUCUUUCAUUUUUCUACCAGCAAUAUCUUUUAGGGAGAGGAAGUUUUUAAUUUUGAUCAACUCCAAGUUUUCAGAAUUUCUUUUCUCUUAUGGAUACUGAUUUUCCUAUUGUAUUUGAGGAUAUUUAGCAGACAUGAUUUUUUUCUUAUGUUUCCUUCUAAAAUUUGUAGUUUUAGAUUUUACAUUUUGUGUUUGGGGCUGAUAAUUUUUUCAGAUGGUGGGAUAUACUGGUCAAAGUUCACUUUGAAGGAUACAGAUAUCUAAACAUUUAUGUUUACAAUAUUUUGUUGUAUAGAAUUUAAAGAUUUUUGUUUCAAUUGAACUUUUGUUUCCUUUUUUGCCUCCAUACUUAGAGAAGCCUUUUUUGACUGGAAAUCAAGUGCAUAACAUUUUUUCUCCAAGAACUUUUCAAUUUCUUUUGCAUUUCUUUAAUCUAUAUUUUAACCUAAGUAGGCUUUAUUGUGGUAAAGAGUGAGAAAUCUGUCUAUGUAUCUGUCUAGUAUCUAGAGACAGAGAAAUCAUUAACUAGCAUAUUGAUGUACUUAGGACCCUACAAGACUCCAUAUAUCAAAAUGAUUUGAUUUUAAGUGCUACAUGGAAAAACUAAAAUUUAAAACACAAGUGUAUACAGAAUACAUAUACUCAGGUUAGUGUCAUAUGAAAGUGAGACAAGAAAUAAUAUCACAGAAACAAGAAAAUUUAAAAAUUAGAAUAGAAUAUCAGAUAGAAACUCAAUGCUAAUGUUUGGGAGUAUUGAAGAAUCUAAGAAAAUAUAAGAUGACAAAAUCAGUCAAAGAAGUUGAAAAACUGAAUGAAAAAUAAACAUGGAAAAAUUGGAACUGUUUCCAAAGAAUUACCUUCUUCAAGCACUAUAGGUCCAGAACACUGGGGGUGAAUUCUCCCAAAAAUGCAAUGAGUUCCAUGGUGCAUAAACUGAAGUCAAGCAUACAAAAAGAUGGAACGUUUCCUGGUUAUUUUUGCAAAGCUAGUGAAACACCCAAAAACAAAACUAUGGAUUAACCUCAAGUGAAAUGUAUGCAUAUAAAAAAAUCUAUCAGAAUGGAAGAUCAAAUCAAUCAAAUCUAACAAUAAGAGAAAAGUAAAUGUCACUUCCAAUAGGACUUUAUUCCAGAAUAUGAGUGGUUCAUUAUAGGAAUUCUAUCAUAUUAAACUAGCACAGCAGAACCGUAUGGUUACUACAAAAGUCCACAUAGAUCUAUUUUUUUUUAACUUUUACAACGUUCAGAUCACUGCAUACUCACACACAAGUGUAGGAAUUAAUACAGAUGAUGGUACAGUGAUGAUAUGCCCAGUUAUCCCAGUGUAACACUUUGCACAGCUACAGCACAACAGAGCACUUAUACUGCAAGUCUCUACACCUUGUUAAAGUUUGCACACAUUCAGCUCUGCCUGCAGUUUUGUCCCCAGACACUUCCCCUACAGACGAGCUGUGGAACAGCUCACCCUAAGAAUCACAAAGGCAACACUGAAUGCUUCUAUCACCAGCCCCUUCUUCAUUUCUGUAAAUUUUCUCCUUUCACUUUCAAGAAAGUUAUAUUCAUAACAUCACGAAAAAUGCAACCUGAGAUUAGCUUUUUCUUAAACUCAACAUCUUUCUCUUGGGAGCAAUGCAGACUGUUGUCUGUAUUAAUGGUAUGUUCCUUUCUAUUGCCAAAUGAUAUUCCAUUGCAUGGAUGUACCAGAGUUACAACAAUUCACCGGCUGAAGAAUUAGCUUGGGGUUAUACUACUGUGACAACUUGGGGACGGGUUUUGCUGUGAAUGUAGGUUUUUAUUGUUCAAAUGUUGUAAAGGAGGGUGCAACUGCUGGGUCACAUGCUCUGCCUAUGUUUACCUUUGUGAUUUUCAUUUUUUAUCCCCACACUGAUGUGUAAGUACUUCACUCUCUCUGCCUCCUUCCUGGCAUUGGAUGAUAUCACAAUUUUUUCUUUUCAUUUCCGCCAUUCUUCUAGGUGUGCAGUAAUAUCUCCUUGUGGUUUCAUUUGCAUUUCCCUAAUGGCUAAUGAUACUGAACAUCUUUUCAUGUGCUUAUUCGCCAUCUGUGUAUCCUCUUCAGUGAAAUGUCUAUUCAUAUCUUUUGCCCAUUUUCUAAUUGGAUUGUUUGUUUGCAAAUAUUUCCUACCAGUCUGUAGCUUGUCUUUUCAUCUUCUUAACAGGGUUUCUGUAGAGCAAAAGUUGUAUUUUUGAUGGGCUAAUUUAUUAAUUCCUUUCUUUAUAAAUUGUGCUUUUGAUGUCAUGUCCAAAUACUCCUUGCUUACCCUGUGUUUUAAACAUAAACCAUUGAUCUAUACCGAGUUAAUUUUUACUUGAGGUAGAAAUUAAGAGACAUGGGUACAGGUUCAUUUUUAUGGCAUGUGGACAUUCAGUGCCUCCCAAACCAUCAUGGACCUGCUUUUGUUCUUUUGUCAAAAUCAGCUGCAUGAGUGUGCAUUACUAUUUCUGGGGACUGUAUUUUAAUCUACUAUUAUAUAUGACUCCCUCCACCAAUAUCGUUAUCUUGAAUAAAGCUGGAUUCAGUAUGCUCCUUUUUUGUUCUUCUAAAGUAUUAUCUUUAGCUUGUUUAGAGCGUUCUUUUCCAUAUAAAUUAAACCUAUAUAUGUUUGUGGAAAACACUGCUGGAGUUUGACAGGAGUUGCUUUAGACCCCUGGAACAACUUCAAGGGAAUCCAUGGAUUCUCUCUGUCAAUUAUUACAAUCAAUAAACAUUGUGUAUUUCUUCUUUUGAUUAAGUCACUGAUUUCAUUCAUCAGCAUAUCAUAAUUUUCAGCAUUAAGUUCCUAUAUAACUUAUGUUACCGAUGUGUAACUAUUUCAUUUUCCUCAUAGCAUUUAGACAACGGGUUAUACUUUUAAUAUUGGUUUCUAUUCAUUAGCUUGUAAAAAUAUGACCAAUUUUUUUCUAUGUUGAAUUUGUAUCCUGCAACCUUGCCAAACUUGUUAAUUAGUUUGGCAAAAAACUAUUGUAAUUCUUUGGGAUUUCCUACCUAGAAAAUAAUGUCCCUACAGUUAGGGACAAUAGAGGGUGUCUUCCUUUUGGACACGCAUGGCUUUGAUUUCUUACACUGACAGAAAAUCUAGCAGCAUGUCAACAAGAGCCAUGUAAUGCAAUAUCUUUCCUGUCCUUGACCUUAAGUGGAAGAAUUCAGUCUUUCACUGUUAGGCAUGCUGAAGCUACAGGUUGUACAUUGAGGUGCUUUAUCUAAUUGAAAAUAUUCCUCUCUUCCUGUUUUUUGGUGAGUUUUAAUCAUGAAUAGUAUUGGAAUUUGUCAAAUUAUUUCUCAUCGUUAAUUGAUAUAAGCAUAUCAUUUUUCUUUCUAGCUUGUUGAUGUGGUGAAUUACAUUGACUGAUUUUUGAGUGUUGAACCAGCCUUGCACAUCUGGAAGAAAUCCCACUUGGUCAUGGUGUAUAACUCUCUUAUGUGUUUCUAAAUUUGAUUUGCUGAUAUUUUGUUCAGGGUUACAGAUGAGGGUCUGUAACUUCUUGGUUCUUUUUUGUUGUUGUUGUUGCUGCUAUUAUUGAUAUCAAGUAUUGAUACAAGUUUCAUAAAGUAUACAGAGAUGUGCCCUCUCCUAGUUUGUUCUCUUACAAAUACUGUGAAGUGGUAUGGCUUCUCUAAACUCCUCACAGGGUUUUGCAGGGGCCUGUCUGGUGAUGAAGAUCUCUUUGAGGGUUUUGAAUUGUUUGUGACUGUGCAGAUUGUCUGUUUCAUCGUGGUUGGCUUUUGGCAGCUCAUGGCUUCCUCUGUGUCCCUGUGACAAUGAACAUCAACUGCCCCAGAAGGGUCCCUUGCCUCUUCCUGAACGAUUCUGUCCCCGUGUCCCCCACCAUGCCCGACCCAAACAACGAUUACCAUCUCUCCUUCUACCUCUGUCAAUCUUGAGAAAUUGACACCCAGUUACCCACUUUUUCUUUCACUAGUUUUAGCCACUGUAUCCAGCUUUACUUUCCUUGGCUUCUGCCCAUGUAUUUAUUAUUCCUUUCUCUCUGUUUUCUGGUAUUUCGUUGCUCAUAUGUAUUUAAUGUAUGUUUUUAAUGCCACGGACUUUUUCAACUCUGCUUUUCAUGUUGUACAUCUAGCAAUUAAGGCGAGAGGGUUGCUGACAACUGCCACUGCCACUAUGGAAUGCCACUAUGCCACUGGCACUUUGUCUUUCCAGUGCUAUUAAUUUUGCUUCACAUGCUCUGAGGCUUCAUGUAACCAAUGCACACAUUUACUAUGAUUAUGUUUUCUUUGUGGGUUAAUCCACUCAUUGUUAGACAAUUUCCCUCUACUCUGAAGCUGUCUCAUGUUAACACGGGCACCCCCAGUUUUUAGGUCAGCAUAUGCAUGGGAUACCUUUCAAUCCUAUUGCAUUUCACUCACAUGUGUAAUUGUGUGUAUUUGGAGUGGGUUUCUUAUAGACAGCAUAUGGUUGGAUAACUUUUUAAAUCUAUUCUGUUUUGUUUUUUAAUUGACAUUUAGACCAUUUACUUUUAAAAUAAUUAUGAUGUCAUAGAGUUUAAUCCUGACAUUUUAUUACCAUUUUCCAUUUUAUUUCUUGUUUUCACUCCUCUGUCUUCCUGUGGUACCUGUGUACAUUUCUCCAAAUGCCAUCUUGGUUUAUUGAUAAUUUGUUUGCUUGUGUCCAUUUGUAAAGUUUUCUUUGAGGUUCCUCUACUACAUCUUAUCUGUAAAACAUGUCUCAGUAAAAUAAAAUUGAAAAGCUUCUAUUCUUAAUAAGAGAUAUUAUUUUAAAAAUUAAAAUCAGGAAUUCAGGGUAUUACAGGAUCCUUGUUAUUAUCAUUAAUAUUUAACUUUUUGAAGCCUCUACCUAGCACAAUAAGGUAAGAAAGUAAAUAAAAGAGUUAAUGCUUUCCAUGGAACAGACACCUUUAUUUAUUUAUUUAUUUAUUCAAAUAAUGUGAUUGACUUCCUAGAAAAUCGACGAGAAAACUAAAAUUUUAUGAAUUGAUAAUAUAUUUCAGUCUGUGGCUAGCUAUAAUCUAAAUAUUUGGCAAGAAAUAGGUGGUUCAAAAGUCAAAUUUUUAGAAAAAGAAUACAAAUUUCUGAGGAAACAUAUAAAAUAAAACUCCUAAGAACAAAUACAUGAAUAUAUAUUUUUUUAAAGAAACAUUCAGAACUUUGUUAACAUAAAGUAAAAUUAAAAACAUGGUGGGCUAUACCAUGUUUUUGACUGGAAGAAUAUUCGCAAAAAGAAUACUUGCAAAAAUUUUAGUAUUUUCAAAAUCAAAUAAUUUACUAGAUUUCAAUGAAAUUAUUGAAAAAAUAGACCAAAUCAUUCCACAACAAGAAAUGAGGAAGAAUGACUAAAAUAUUUGUAAAGAAUAAGAGUGAAAGAAGACUUAACCUAGAAGCUACCUAUGUACCCUAAAAAAUUGUAACAUUUGAAGUUGUUGUCUCUCCUGGAAUGGGCAGGCAGAAUAAAUAUAUGGAGAGAAAAUUCCAUAAAUAAAAUGUAAAACAUAGAAAUAGAACAUAAAAAAUGCAUUGGAGGGCUGGGGAUUUAGCUCAGUGGCAUAAGUGUCUGCCUGGCAAGCACGAGGUUGUGAGUUCAAUCCCAGGUACUAAAGAAAGAAAGAAAGAAAGAAAGAAAGAAAGAAAGAAAGAAAGAAAGAAAGAAAUGCUCUUGAAAAUAAUGAGUUAACUAUUUAAACUCUUCAAAAUUGUUGGCCAGAUGAUCUAUUAUAUAUUUUCAUAUACGUAAUUUCUUUUGAAUCUGGUAAUACAUAGCUUUCUUUCUUUCUUUCUUUCUUUCUACCUGGGAUCAAGCUCACAACCUUGUGUUUUCCAGGCAUCUUUUAUUUUCUUAAAGACACUAGAGCUUAUAAUUGAAAUUACUCUUUUAACAAUUAUCUCCAAUUUCUUUAUCAAAUUUGUCCUAUUAAGUAACUUUUUUUUCUUUAGCCUUUGGUUUCUUUUGCUUUGUUUUUUCUAAGCUUAAUAUCAUCAUAAAAUUAUAUUAAUUGGUCCUUUUUUGUGUAAUAUCCAUUUUAUGCCAUACAUUUAUGUCUAAUUAGAACUGUGGCAACAUUUUAUGUUUCCAUAUACAUGGAGUAUUAUUGUAGCUAUUUAUUAAACAGUACUUUAAUUAAGUUUACUGGUACAAUUUAGAUUUGCAUAAUGAUCACAUUCAUAGGGAGUUAAUACCUGUACCUGUUACAUUUUAGUUCCUUUCUCUCCCCACUCCUCUCCCCUCUCUUCCACCUCUCUUCCCCUCCUUAUUUACAAAGCUUUGUUUUUAGUUUACCCCUUUUUUCUGAUUUUUUUCUUUCCUUUCUAUCCCCAUUCUCCUUCUCCUUUGGACAAUAGUCUCCUAUUUUACAGUGUCUAUUAUACAUUUUGCUUCUUAUUUAUACUUUCAGUUUCUCAUACCAGAGAGACAAUGCUAUAUUUACACAUGUGUCUGAUUUAUUUCAUUUAAAAGUAUGUGCUGAUAUAACCAUGGCUGUGCAUACUUUGCUGUACUGAUGCUUUUAAUUCCUUUGGGAGGAUACUGACAAGGGGAAUAGCUGAGUCAAAUGGAAUCCCUGGUUCUACCUUUUUCCGGAAUUUCCACACUGAUUUUCAUAGUGGUUGCACCAGUCUACACUCCUACCGAUGGUGGAGAAGAGUUCCUUUUUCCCCACUGCCCCUCCAACAUUUAUUAUUGGUAAUUUGUUGAUAAUAGCCAUUCUUUCUGGAGUUAGAUGGAAUCUCAGCAUUGUUUUAAUUUGCAUCUCUCAAACGACCAGUGAGGGUGAACAAGUUGGAAGAAGCAGAAACAACUUUAAAUAUACCAGCCAUCUGAUCUUUGACAAAGUGGCCAGACAGCCUCUUUAGUAAAUGGUGCUGGAAAAAAUGGCUUUCCACAUGCCAAAGAUUAAAACUAGACCCAUGUCUAUCACCAUGCUCUAAGCUAAAAUAAAAAUAGAUUGAGGAUCUAAGUAUUAAAACAGAAACAAUCUGCUGGAAGAGAAAAUAGAACUCUUGAAUACACAUGUGUAGGUGAAGAUUUCAUGAACAAAACCCCAACGGCAUGUGAAAUACUAUGAAGAAUCAACAACUUGGAUCUCAUCCUAUUAAAAAGCUUUUGUACAGCAAAAUAAAUCACCAACAGAGUAAAAAGACAACCCACAGAAUGGGAAAAAAAACAUCUUAGCCAGUUCUUCAAACAAAGGACUUCUAUCCAGAAUAUAUAAAGAAUUUAAAAAUCUCAGACUUCUCCAAAUUUAAAGACUCAGUACAAAAAUGGGCAUCUGAGAUGAACAUACACUCCUCAGAACAAGUGCAAACAGCAAAUAAAUACAUGAAAUAAAGCUGUUUAUUAAAUAUUCUGAUACCACCUUUUCCCCUAUGCUUCCAGCAUGCAUGUUUUACAUAUCUUUUUAUUUAUAAAGAAAGAUAAGUUUUUCUAGGUAUACAUUUAUAUUUUUGUUACUAGCUCUUGGUCUUUUUCACUGUUGUCAGAAAAUAUGUGACAAAAUAUGCUUCUGAGUAACUUGACACUUGUCUGUACCUAAUGUUACCAUAUUCACAUUAUCUGUACUCACUUAAAAACAUGCAGUGUAAUUUUAUAUGUAGCUGUAUGAUUAAAACCUUAUAUCUUCAUUAA